CACGUAGGGUGCGAGCGUUGUCCGGAAUUAUUGGGCGUAAAGAGCUCGUAGGCGGUUUGUUGCGUCGGCUGUGAAAUCCCCGAGGCUCAACCUCGGGUCUGCAGUCGAUACGAGCAAACUAGAGUGUUGCAGGGGAGACUGGAAUUCCUGGUGUAGCGGUGAAAUGCGCAGAUAUCAGGAGGAACACCGGUGGCGAAGGCGGGGUCUCUGGGCAACAACUGACGCUGGAGGAGCGAAAGCCGUGGGGAGCGAACAGG
rnacentral:rRNA from 1 species